rnacentral:rRNA from 1 species
CCCUUAGAUGUUCUGGGCCGCACGCGUGCUACACUGAGUGGAUCAGCGGGUCAGGUUGCGCGAAAGUGUUUCCUAAUCUUUAAAUCCGCUCGUGAUGGGGAUUGACGGUUGCAAUUUUCCGUCAUGAACGAGGAAUACCUUGUAAGCGCGGGUCAUCAUCCCGCGCUGAAUACGUCCCUGCCCUUUGUACACACCGCCCGUCGCUCCUACCGAUUGAGUGGUCCGGUGAGGCUUUGGGAUCUAAGCGAAAAGAGCGUUUCGCUCCUUUUGCUGGGAGAACUCAGUCGAACCUUAUCAUUUAGAGGAAGGAGAAGUCGUAACA